rnacentral:rRNA from 1 species
UACGAAGGGGGCUAGCGUUGCUCGGAAUCACUGGGCGUAAAGCGCACGUAGGCGGAUUGUUAAGUCAGGGGUGAAAUCCUGGAGCUCAACUCCAGAACUGCCUUUGAUACUGGCGAUCUUGAGUCCGGGAGAGGUGAGUGGAACUCCGAGUGUAGAGGUGAAAUUCGUAGAUAUUCGCAAGAACACCAGUGGCGAAGGCGGCUGACUGGUCCGGUUCUGACGCUGAGGCGCGAAAGCGUGGGGAGCAAACAGG